CCGGCCGCCGCACAGCCUCGCGGUCACUGCCUCACCAUCUCAGUUCAGAUUUUAUCUUCUUUUCAGGUUUGUUUGGUCGUUUUCCGAAUUGGGUCUGUCAAUUUUUAGGGGAAGCAUUACUCUGCGAACGGUGUUGUUCAUUCUUGCUCGUUUCUGAGGGGAAGUUGUUUUCUUCUCAUUUGUACUGGUAA